rnacentral:rRNA from 1 species
UACGUAGGGGGCUAGCGUUGUCCGGAUUUAUUGGGCGUAAAGAGCGUGUAGGCGGCCAGAUAGGUCUGCUGUGAAAACUCGAGGCUCAACCUCGAGCUGUCGGCGGAAACCAUCCGGCUAGAGUCCGGAAGAGGAGAGUGGAAUUCCCGGUGUAGCGGUGAAAUGCGCAGAUAUCGGGAAGAACACCUGUGGCGAAGGCGGCUCUCUGGCCCCGGAACUGACGCUGAGGUGCGAAAGCGUGGGGAGCAAACAGG